CAGGCUUAACACAUGCAAGUCGAGGGGCAGCAUGGUCUUAGCUUGCUAAGGCCGAUGGCGACCGGCGCACGGGUGAGUAACACGUAUCCAACCUGCCGUCUACUCUUGGACAGCCUUCUGAAAGGAAGAUUAAUACAAGAUGGCAUCAUGAGUCCGCAUGUUCACAUGAUUAAAGGUAUUCCGGUAGACGAUGGGGAUGCGUUCCAUUAGAUAGUAGGCGGGGUAACGGCCCACCUAGUCUUCGAUGGAUAGGGGUUCUGAGAGGAAGGUCCCCCACAUUGGAACUGAGACACGGUCCAAACUCCUACGGGAGGCAGCAGUGAGGAAUAUUGGUCAAUAGGCGAGAGCCUGAACCAGCCAAGUAGCGUGAAGGAUGACUGCCUUAUGGGUUGUAAACUUCUUUUAUAAAGGAAUAAAGUCGGGUAUGGAUACCCGUUUGCAUGUACUUUAUGAAUAAGGAUCGGCUAACUCCGUGCCAGCAGCCGCGGUAAUACGGAGGAUUCGAGCGUUAUCCGGAUUUAUUGGGUUUAAAGGGAGCGUAGAUGGAUGUUUAAGUCAGUUGUGAAAGUUUGCGGCUCAACCGUAAAAUUGCAGUUGAUACUGGAUAUCUUGAGUGCAGUUGAGGCAGGCGGAAUUCGUGGUGUAGCGGUGAAAUGCUUAGAUAUCACGAAGAACUCCGAUUGCGAAGGCAGCCUGCUAAGCUGCAACUGACAUUGAGGCUCGAAAGUGUGGGUAUCAAACAGGAUUAGAUACCCUGGUAGUCCACACGGUAAACGAUGAAUACUCGCUGUUUGCGAUAUACGGCAAGCGGCCAAGCGAAAGCGUUAAGUAUUCCACCUGGGGAGUACGCCGGCAACGGUGAAACUCAAAGGAAUUGACGGGGGCCCGCACAAGCGGAGGAACAUGUGGUUUAAUUCGAUGAUACGCGAGGAACCUUACCCGGGCUUAAAUUGCAGAUGAAUUACGGUGAAAGCCGUAAGCCGCAAGGCAUCUGUGAAGGUGCUGCAUGGUUGUCGUCAGCUCGUGCCGUGAGGUGUCGGCUUAAGUGCCAUAACGAGCGCAACCCUUGUUGUCAGUUACUAACAGGUUCUGCUGAGGACUCUGACAAGACUGCCAUCGUAAGAUGUGAGGAAGGUGGGGAUGACGUCAAAUCAGCACGGCCCUUACGUCCGGGGCUACACACGUGUUACAAUGGGGGGUACAGAGGGCCGCUACCACGCGAGUGGAUGCCAAUCCCAAAAACCUCUCUCAGUUCGGACUGGGGUCUGCAACCCGACUCCACGAAGCUGGAUUCGCUAGUAAUCGCGCAUCAGCCACGGCGCGGUGAAUACGUUCCCGGGCCUUGUACACACCGCCCGUCAAGCCAUGGGAGCCGGGGGUACCUGAAGUGCGUAACCGCGAGGAGCGCCCUAGGGUAAAACUGGUGACUGGGGC
rnacentral:rRNA from 1 species